UACGUAGGCAGCGAGCGUUGUUCGGAGUUACUGGGCGUAAAGGGUGUGUAGGCGGUUAUUUAAGUUUGGUGUGAAAUCUCCCGGCUCAACCGGGAGGGUGCGCCGAAUACUGAAUGACUUGGAGUGCGGGAGAGGUGAGUGGAAUUCCUGGUGUAGCGGUGAAAUGCGUAGAUAUCAGGAGGAACACCGGUGGUGUAGACGGCUCACUGGACCGUAACUGACGCUGAGGCACGAAAGCGUGGGGAGCAAACAGG
rnacentral:rRNA from 1 species